rnacentral:rRNA from 1 species
UACGUAGGGGGCUAGCGUUGUCCGGAAUCAUUGGGCGUAAAGCGCGUGUAGGCGGCCCGGUAAGUCCGCUGUGAAAGUCGGGGGCUCAACCCUCGGAUGCCGGUUGAUACUGUCGGGCUAGAGUGCGGAAGAGGUGAGUGGAACUCCGAGUGUAGAGGUGAAAUUCGUAGAUAUUCGGAAGAACACCAGUGGCGAAGGCGGCUCACUGGUCCGGUACUGACGCUGAGGUGCGAAAGCGUGGGGAGCAAACAGG